GACGUAGGGCGCGAGCGUUGUCCGGAUUUAUUGGACGUAAAGAGCUCGUAGGCGGCUUGUCGCGUCGACCGUGAAAACUUGGGGCUCAACCCCAAGCCUGCGGUCGAUACGGGCAGGCUCGAGUUCGGUAGGGGAGACUGGAAUUCCUGGUGUAGCGGUGAAAUGCGCAGAUAUCAGGAGGAACACCGGUGGCGAAGGCGGGUCUCUGGGCCGAUACUGACGCUGAGGAGCGAAAGCGUGGGGAGCGAACAGG
rnacentral:rRNA from 1 species